UUCCUACUCCCUCCGUUCCAAAUUACUCGUCGCAGAAAUGGAUGUAUCUAAAACUAAAAUACAUCUAGAUACAUCCAUACGUGCGACAAGUAAUUCGGAACGGAGGGAGUAGAUC
rnacentral:pre_miRNA from 1 species